CACCCCUGUUUCUCUGGAGUUCCCAAUCCUGAUCACCCUGCAACGCUCAUCGGAAACCUCCUUCGGUCAGCUUGGGAGGACACAGACAAGCGUGUGCGCUCCUCUGAAGCAUGUUCUGCCAGCCACCACCUCCUUAUCGCACUGCGGUGCUAAGCCAGGCUGGCAGACAGGAAUGGGAGGAGGACAGUCCUGGGAUUCAUUCCAAUCACUAAUCAGGCCUCAUCUCCCUGACCUUCACUUGACCCAUAAAAUUGAACGAGGUCCGCCAUCUUUAAGAACAUUCCGACCCCUUAAACGCUCCUUGGAGGAGCGAGGAGGUUCCCGGAGGAGAGCGUGACGAGGACACGCAAGUCGUUUUUUUUUUUAAUGUGUGAGCCACCCAGCAACCCUUUUUCAAGAAAUUUAGCUCUUCUACUACCUUACUACCUACUACCUUUUACUAAAUUUACCGCUUCUAAAUUUAGCACUCUACUACCUAUACAUAUCACCGCUCAACUGAGGUGUGUGUAAGCCUGCAUUUUAUAAAAAAAUAUAGACUGAAGUUAGGGCUAGGGUAAUUCAUGCCAUCAUCAGAUUUGAGAAGGUCAAAAACAUUUCACUGCAUGAAAAACUGGAAGGUAUCCAACCAGUUAAUUUUUAGUGAAAUCUGGGGCGUGUCUGUCGUGGGUGGUAGUUUCUGUGUCAACACACGCAUUUCUAGAAACUUCUACUAAUUCCCAGACCAUGGGUCCACAGGAUUUCUCUAUUUAUUUUAGGACUCUGCCCGCUCUGAAAUUUUCACAUCAUGUCCUGAGACGUUGACGGCCACGUCUGGGAGUUUAUGCCAAGCGGCCGGACAAGAACACCUCUGUGUACAAAUUGAUGUCCGUUUCCAACAUAGACACUCUGGUUCCCGACACUGACGUGUGCCGCACAAGAUUCCCUGGUGUUUCCCACAUAGGUUUGGAAAUGUUGCCAAAUAUUCUUCUCUUUUGUCUGAAGACAUUCAGCUACAAAUAAGACCUUAACCGACAAACCAGUCACCUGUGCUUCAGCUUCGACAGCUUCAAACGCCAUCACCUGUGCUUCAGCUUCGACAGCUUCAAACGCAGUCACCUGUGCUUCAGCUUCGACAGCUUCAAACACAGUCACCUGUGCUUCAGCUUCGACAGCUUCAAACGCAGUCACCUGUGCUUCAGCUUCGACAGCUUCAAACCAGUCACCUGUGCUUCAGCUUCGACAGCUUCAAACGCAGUCACAUGGUAGCUGAUCGGACAUUUAGUAGUGAGCACUGAGGGGGAAAAGAUCAGCUUCAGUGCACUGUGGAAAAAGAUCAGCUUCAGUGCAACGUGGAAGCUCGAGAUCCAUCAACAAAGGGCUUUUUAGAUCACAAUUCCAAGAACGCUGAAUACAAUGUGUGUGAAAACAAUGCAUCCACAAAUUUAAAUUAAAAAUUAUUUUAAAAUAAUAAAAGAAAA